UGAAGCCCAGCUUGCUGGGCGGAUUAGUGGCGAACGGGUGAGUAAUACGUGAGUAACCUGCCUUUAACUCUGGGAUAAGCCUUGGAAACGGGGUCUAAUACCGGAUACGACCAACCCUCGCAUGGGGUGUUGGUGGAAAGGGAUUUUGUACUGGUUUUAGAUGGGCUCACGGCCUAUCAGCUUGUUGGUGAGGUAACGGCUCACCAAGGCGACGACGGGUAGCCGGCCUGAGAGGGUGACCGGCCACACUGGGACUGAGACACGGCCCAGACUCCUACGGGAGGCAGCAGUGGGGAAUAUUGCACAAUGGGCGCAAGCCUGAUGCACCGACCCCCCGGGAGGGAUGACGGCCUUCGGGUUGUAAACCUCUUUCACCAGGGGAAAAGCGAAAGUGACGGUACCUGCAAAAAAAGCGCCGGCUAACUACUUGCCAGCAGCCGCGGUAAUACGUAGGGCGCGAGCGUUGUCCGGAAUUAUUGGGCGUAAAGAGCUGGUAGGCGGUUUGUCGCGUCUGCUGUGAAAGCCCGGGGCUUAACCCCGGGUUUGCAGUGGGUACGGGCAGACUAAAGUGCAGUAGGGGAGACUGGAAUUCCUGGUGUAGCGGUGAAAUGCGCAGAUAUCAGGAGGAACACCAAUGGCGAAGGCAGGUCUCUGGGCUGUAACUGACGCUGAGAAGCGAAAGCAUGGGGAGCAAACAGGAUUAGAUACCCUGGUAGUCCAUGCCGUAAACGUUGGGCACUAGGUGUGGGGAACAUUCCACGUUUUCCGCGCCGUAGCUAACGCAUUAAGUGCCCCGCCUGGGGAGUACGGCCGCAAGGCUAAAACUUCAAAGAAAUUGACGGGGGCCCGCACAAGCGGCGGAGCAUGCGGAUUAAUUCCGAUGCAACGCGAAGAACCUUACCAAGGCUUGCACAUAUACUAGACCGCCUCAGAGAUGGGGUUUCCCUUCGGGGCUGGUAUACAGGUGGUGCAUGGUUGUCGUCAGCUCGUGUCGUGAGAUGUUGGGUUAAGUCCCGCAACGAGCGCAACCCUCGUUCUAUGUUGCCAGCACGUAAUGGUGGGGACUCAUAGGAGACUGCCGGGGUUAACUCGGAGGAAGGUGGGGAUGACGUCAAAUCAUCAUGCCCCUUAUGUCUUGGGCUUCACGCAUGCUACAAUGGCCGGUACAAAGGGUUGCGAUACUGUGAGGUUGAGCUAAUCCCAAAAAGCCGGUCUCAGUUCGGAUUGGGGUCUGCAACUCGACCCCAUGAAGUCGGAGUCGCUAGU
rnacentral:rRNA from 1 species